AGCGCCUUACCUUAGGGUUUCCUCUGGGGUAAGUGAUUGCUUCUACACUGUGAAAAUUUGGCUGAGAGACUCAGACUGGUCAUGGGUAGACCUAUCUGGGGUUUGAUCGAUGCCACUCCUGGUUUCAGGAGUACCCUUCAUAAUAAACCUAGAAAUUCAGUAUUAUAAAGUUUAAUAAAAAACAACUUUUAACAAUGGAUCUCUUGGUUCUCGCAUCGAUGAAGAACGUAGCAAAGUGCGAUAACUAGUGUGAAUUGCAUAUUCAGUGAAUCAUCGAGUCUUUGAACGCAGCUUGCACUCUAUGGUUUUUCUAUAGAGUACGCCUGCUUCAGUAUCAUCACAAACCCACACAUAACAUUUGUUUAUGUGGUGAUGGGUCGCAUCGCUGUUUUAUUACAGUGAGCACCUAAAAUGUGUGUGAUUUUCUGUCUGGCUUGCUAGGCAGGAAUAUUACGCUGGUCUCAGGAUCUUUUUUUUUGGUUCGCCCAGGAAGUAAAGUACAAGAGUAUAAUCCAGUAACUUUCAAACUAUGAUCUGAAGUCAGGUGGGAUUACCCGCUGAACUUAAGCAUAUCAAUAAGCGGAGGAA
rnacentral:rRNA from 1 species